CACGUAGGGCGCAAGCGUUGUCCGGAAUUAUUGGGCGUAAAGAGCUCGUAGGCGGUUUGUCGCGUCUGCUGUGAAAACUCAGGGCUUAACCCUGAGCCUGCAGUGGGUACGGGCAGACUAGAGUGUGGUAGGGGAGAUCGGAAUUCCUGGUGUAGCGGUGGAAUGCGCAGAUAUCAGGAGGAACACCGGUGGCGAAGGCGGAUCUCUGGGCCAUAACUGACGCUGAGGAGCGAAAAGCAUGGGGGAGCGAACAGGGA
rnacentral:rRNA from 1 species